CCCUUAGAUGUUCUGGGCUGCACACGUGCUACACUGACAGGUUCAGCGAGCUUCAUGCCCUGAUCUGAAAGGAAUGGGAAAUCUUUUCAAAACCUGCCGUGCUUGGGAUAGAUGUUUGCAAUUAUUCAUCUUCAACGAGGAUUGCCUUGUAAGCGCACGUCAUCAGCGUGCAUUGAAUACGACCCUGUAUUCUGUACACACCGCCCGUCGCUCCUACCGAUUGAAGUUUUCGGUGAGUUGACAGGAGGAUUUUUUUGAAACUGGUUCGCCAGUGGAUUUUAGAUCCAAAUGCCAACGAAUCGAUGGCUUUAGAGGAGGGAGAAGUCGUAACA
rnacentral:rRNA from 1 species